UUAUUCCGCCGGAAGGAUGGCAACCGUGGCUUGGCGAUUUCGGUCUUAACACACUUUUCUACUCGGAGGUACAGAACACUGGGCCAGGUGCACCUAUCACAAAACGGGUUACUUGGCCUGGAAUCAAGAAGUUGAGUGAAGAAGAAAUACUUACAUUCACUCCAGCUCAAUACAUCCAAGGUGAUGCUUGGAUUCCGGGUAAAGGUGUUCCGUAUAUCCCAGGUCUUUUCACUGGAAAUGGCUCAACAACCAAUCCGACCGAAUUG
rnacentral:lncRNA from 1 species